rnacentral:rRNA from 1 species
AUUGAACGCUGGCGGCAUGCCUUACACAUGCAAGUCGAACGGCAGCGCGGACUUCGGUCUGGCGGCGAGUGGCGAACGGGUGAGUAAUACAUCGGAACGUACCCUGUUGUGGGGGAUAACUAGUCGAAAGAUUAGCUAAUACCGCAUACGACCUGAGGGUGAAAGUGGGGGACCGCAAGGCCUCACGCAGCAGGAGCGGCCGAUGUCUGAUUAGCUAGUUGGUGGGGUAAAGGCCCACCAAGGCGACGAUCAGUAGCUGGUCUGAGAGGACGAGCGGCCAAACUGGGACUGAGACACGGCCCAGACUCCUACGGGAGGCAGCAGUGGGGAAUUUUGGACAAUGGGGGCAACCCUGAUCCAGCAAUGCCGCGUGUGUGAAGAAGGCCUUCGGGUUGUAAAGUACUUUUGUCCGGAAAGAAAUCGCGCUGGUUAAUACCUGGCGUGGAUGACGGUACCGGAAGAAUAAGCACCGGCUAACUACGUGCCAGCCGCCGCCGUAA